UAUUGGACAAUGGGCGAAAGCCUGAUCCAGCAAUGCCGCGUGAGUGAUGAAGGCCUUAGGGUUGUAAAGCUCUUUUACCCGGGAUGAUAAUGACAGUACCGGGAGAAUAAGCUCCGGCUAACUCCGUGCCAGCAGCAGCGGUAAUACGGAGGGAGCUAGCGUUGUUCGGAAUUACUGGGCGUAAAGCGCACGUAGGCGGCUUUGUAAGUUAGAGAUGAAAGCCUGGAGCUCAACUCCAGAAUUGCCUUUGAUACUGCAUCGCUUGAAUCCAGGAGAGGUGAGUGGAAUUCCGAGUGUAGAGGUGAAAUUCGUAGAUAUUCGGAAGAACACCAGUGGCGAAGGCGGCUCACUGGACGGCAUUGACGCUGAGGUGCGAAA
rnacentral:rRNA from 1 species